UCCAUGGAGAGUUUGAUCCUGGCUCAGGAUGAACGCUGGCGGUAUGCUUAACACAUGCAAGUCGUACGGGUUAGAGCAAUCUAAUCUAGUGGCGGACGGGUGCGUAACACGUAAGAACCUACCUUUUGGAGGGGGAUAACAUUGGGAAACUGAUGCUAAUACCCCAUAUCGCUGAGGAGUGAAAGCAGGUGACUGCGCCAAGAGAGGGGCUUGCGGCUGAUUAGCUAGUUGGUGGAGGUAAAGGCUCCCCAAGGCCACGAUCAGUAGCUGGUCUGAGAGGAUGAUCAGCCACACUGGGACUGAGACACGGCCCAGACUCCUACGGGAGGCAGCAGUGAGGAAUUUUCCACAAUGGGCGAAAGCCUGAUGGAGCAAUACCGCGUGGAGGAAGAAGGUCUGUGGAUCGUAAACUCCUUUUCUCAGAGAAGAAGUUCUGACGGUAUCUGAGGAAUAAGCACUGGCUAACUAUGUGCCAGCAGCCGCGGUAAUACAUAGAGUGCAAGCGUUAUCCGGAAUAAUUGGGCGUAAAGCGUCUGUAGGUGGUUUAAAAAGUCUAAUGUCAAAUACGAUGGCUCAACCAACGGCAGGCAUUGGAGUACUAUUAAACUAGAGUUUGGUAGAGGUAGAGGGAAUCCCUAGCGUAACAGUGAAAUGUGUAGAUUUUAGGGAGAACACCAGCGGCGAAGGCGCUCUACUGGGCCAAUACUGACACUGAGAGACGAAAGCUAAGGGAGCGAAAAGGAUUAGAUACCCUUGUAGUCUUAGCUGUAAACGAUGGAAACUAAGUGGGGGAGGGCCAUAAGCAGUCUCUGUUUAUGUAGCUACUUCCCUGCUGUAGCUAACGCGUUAAGUUUCCCGCCUGGGGAGUAUGCUCGCAAGAGUGAAACUCAAAGGAAUUGACGGGAACCUGCACAAGCGGUGGAUUAUGUGGUUUAAUUCGAUGCAACGCGAAGAACCUUACCAGGGUUUGACAUGUCUAGAAUUUUCCAGAAAUGGGAAAGUGCUACUAUCAUUUGGGAUAGUAGAACUAGAACACAGGUGGUGCAUGGCUGUCGUCAGCUCGUGCGUUGACGUGUACGGUUAAGUCCUGCAACGAGCGCAACCCUCGUCCUUAGUUACCUUUUUGGAUUCUCUAAGGAGACUGCGCGCGCAAGCGCUGAGGAAGGUGAGGAUGACGUCAAGUCAGCAUGCCCCUUACACCCUGGGCGACACACGUAAUACAAUGGCUGGGACAAUCAGAAGCUACCCCGCGAGGGCACGCAAAUCUGCUAAACUCAGCCUCAGUUCGGAUUGUAGGCUGCAACUCGCCUACAUGAAGCCGGAAUCGCUAGUAAUCGCCAGUCAGCCAUAUGGCGGUGAAUACGUUCCCAGGUUUUGUCCACACCGCCCGUCACAUCAAGAGAGUAUACAAAGGUCCAAGUCAUUAGUUUAACCUGUUUACAGGAAAACGGUGCCCAAGCUUCGGUAAACAAUCAUGAUGAAGUCGUAACAAGGUAGCCGUACUGGAAGGUGCGGCUGGAUCACCUCCUUC
rnacentral:rRNA from 1 species